rnacentral:misc_RNA from 1 species
UAGCACGUCCUCAUCGACGAGCCGACAUGGAGACUGGCACACGCCAGCCAGCUAGUGGCAUGAAGUGGCAAUCACCGAGCCGACUGUCGUACAUUGAGAGAGCUUUCGUUAGGGACGCGACCGCAACGGGUCACGAGCCUUUAUCAUUUGCAACAUCCGAAACCAAUAGUGCGAGCGAGGUGGCCUUGGAAGCACCGGGCACGUAGGGCACCAGCACCACGAGGCAACGCCGCACGAACUAUUAGGCCGCAGCGGAACUCCCUUGGGGGUCCACAGCGAGGCAACCGUGUAUGAAGCACAACUUCCCGUAGUUUGGGUACCAGCAUGCAAGCACUCGUCGAUGGAGCGGAAUGGUUAGAACCGCAAGAAUGAUAGGAUAUCGGCGCCAGUAGUCGGCCGCACAUCGGCGGGGGUCCUGCUGGCAGACACGAGUCCAAGACAACUCAUGCGCUCGCGUAGCCAACUG